GCCGCGAGUGAGAUCGACGGAAAAUGUGACCCUGUGUCCGGUUCCGCGGGUGGAGGCCAACACGGUACGCGGGCGCCCAGGUGGUCGUCUCCUCCGACUCCGAGGAUGGCCUUUGGCAGCCUCCGUUGGGCGUGGCGUCGCUCACCAUCCAGGCACGGCAAAAGCACGGUAGCCCCUGCCGACUGCCGACCAGGCGACCACACACAAGGACGGGCUUUAUCUGCAGGUAAUAAAUAGAUGGUGCACCUUUCGCUGCACCUUGCACGGCUCGCGUCUUCCCAGUUUUCCGUCCCAGUCUUGACUCUUGAAGCGCUCGAAAACAGGAAGGUUUACCAGAAUAGAGUAAACGCAGAGGAGACACAAACCCUCGAAAUCGAAACAAGUGAAGUGCGUCCAGUGCGCCAUGACCGAAAAAACCUCGUCACCGAUCACACGCUCGAGCAAUCCAAAAAACAAAACAAAAA
rnacentral:lncRNA from 7 species